rnacentral:rRNA from 1 species
UACAGAGGUCUCAAGCGUUGUUCGGAUUCAUUGGGCGUAAAGGGUGCGUAGGUGGCGCUGUAAGUCGGGUGUGAAAUUUCGGAGCUUAACUCCGAAACUGCAUUCGAUACUGCGGUGCUUGAGGACUGGAGAGAAGACUGGAAUUCAUGGUGUAGCAGUGAAAUGCGUAGAGAUCAUGAGGAAGACCAGUGGCGAAGGCGGGUCUCUGGACAGUUCCUGACACUGAGGCACGAAGGCCAGGGGAGCAAACGGG